GACGAACGCUGGCGGCGUGCUUAACACAUGCAAGUCGAACGGAAAGGCCCUGCUUUUGUGGGGUGCUCGAGUGGCGAACGGGUGAGUAACACGUGAGUAACCUGCCCUUGACUUUGGGAUAACUUCAGGAAACUGGGGCUAAUACCGGAUAGGAGCCCCUGCUGCAUGGUGGGGGUUGGAAAGUUUCGGCGGUUGGGGAUGGACUCGCGGCUUAUCAGCUUGCUGGUGGGGUAGUGGCUUACCAAGGCUUUGACGGGUAGCCGGCCUGGGAGGGGGACCGGCGACAUGGGGACUGAGAUACGGCCCAGACUCCUACGGGAGGCAGCAGUGGGGAAUAUUGCACAAUGGGCGGAAGCCUGAUGCAGCAACGCCGCGUGCGGAAUGACGGCCUUCGGGUUGUAAACCGCUUUCGCCUGUGACGAAGCGUGAGUGACGGUAAUGGGUAAAGAAGCACCGGCUAACUACGUG
rnacentral:rRNA from 1 species